CGCCCUUCGUCCCUCGAAUACCAACCCUUACCUUCCCCCCCAAGCUAAUAACUCCCCUUAGGUGCACGGGGGUGAAUGGAUUGGGCCCAGGCCCUGCAAGUUCGCGUGUUCCGCGCCAGGGACCCCGCCCCUCGCCCUUCCCAAAUUUCCUUUUUUUGUCCCCUUUUCCCUGUUUUGUUUCUGCGGAAGGAUCAUUAAUGAAUUUUGAAAGGCGAGGGCUUGAUGCUGGCGCGGAGACGCGGACGUGCACGGCCCUUGUCCUCAAUCCAAUUCAACCCCUGUGCACCUUAUGGGAGUUAUUAGCUGGCGGGAAUGUAAUGUUAGUAGUCGAGAGACGAAGGCUUACGGAUCGUCGGUGAACACUUCAACUUUAUUAUCAACCUUUGUUGUCGUGUAGAAUGCAAUGCUCCUCGUGGGCGAAAUGAAAUACAACUUUCAACAACGGAUCUCUUGGCUCUCGCAUCGAUGAAGAACGCAGCGAAAUGCGAUAAGUAAUGUGAAUUGCAGAAUUCAGUGAAUCAUCGAAUCUUUGAACGCACCUUGCGCCCCUUGGUAUUCCGAGGGGCAUGCCUGUUUGAGUGUCAUGUUAAUCUCAAUUCCCUUGUUUUCUUAACUCGGGCGUUGGACUUGGAAGUUGCUGGCCCCUUUUGCCGGUCGGCUCUUCUUAAAUGUAUUAGCUGGGCUUUGGCUCGCGUUGAACGGUGUAAUAGUAAUCUUACAUUCGCCUGAGCGCUUGCCUGACGAGUCUGCUUCUAAUCGUCUUCGGACAAGGUCUUUGUUACCUUCACUUGACACCUGACCUCAAAUCAGGUAGGAUUACCCGCUGAACUUAA
rnacentral:rRNA from 1 species